UACGGAGAGUGCGAACGUUGUUCGGAUUCACUGGGCGUAAAGGGCACGUAGGCGGCUCGGCAAAUCAGUCGUGGAAUCCCGACGCUUACCGUCGGAACGGCGGCUGAAAAUACCGGGCUUGAGGGCGUGAGGGGUCACUGGAACUCCAGGUGAAGCGGUGAAAUGCGUAGAUAUCUGGGGGAACGCCGGAGGCGAAAGCGAGUGACUGGCGCGUUCCUGACGCUGAGGUGCGAAAGCUAGGGGAGCAAACAGG
rnacentral:rRNA from 1 species